rnacentral:miRNA from 1 species
AAGUCGUAACAAGGUUUCCGU